GCGGUUGUGGUGUAGUCCGGCCAAUCAUGUCGGCUUCUCGAGCCGACGACUCGGGUUCAAAUCCCGACAACCGCA
rnacentral:tRNA from 3 species